GGACCCGCACAAGCGGUGGAUGAUGUGGAUUAAUUCGAUGCAACGCGAAAAACCUUACCUACCCUUGACAUGCCAGGAACUCUGCUGAGAAGUGGAGGUGCCCGAAAGGGAGCCUGGACACAGGUGCUGCAUGGCUGUCGUCAGCUCGUGUCGUGAGAUGUUGGGUUAAGUCCCGCAACGAGCGCAACCCUUGUCGUUAAUUGCCAUCAUUCAGUUGGGCACUUUAACGAGACUGCCGGUGACAAACCGGAGGAAGGUGGGGAUGACGUCAAGUCCUCAUGGCCCUUAUGGGUAGGGCUUCACACGUCAUACAAUGGUCGGUACAGAGGGUUGCCAAGCCGCGAGGCGGAGCGAAUCUCACAAAGCCGAUCGUAGUCCGGAUCGCAGUCUGCAACUCGACUGCGUGAAGUCGGAAUCGCUAGUAAUCGCGGAUCAGCAUGUCGCGGUGAAUACGUUCCCGGGUCUU
rnacentral:rRNA from 1 species